AACGAACGCUGGCGGCAUGCCUAACACAUGCAAGUCGAACGAGACCUUCGGGUCUAGUUGCGCACGGGUGCGUAACGCGUGGGAACCUGCCCUUAGGUUCGGAAUACCUCCCCGAAAGGGGUGCUAAUACCGGAUAAUGUCUUCGGACCAAAGAUUUAUCGCCUUUGGAUGGGCCCGCGUUGGAUUAGCUAGUUGGUAGGGUAAAAGCCUACCAAGGCGACGAUCCAUAGCUGGUCUGAGAGGAUGAUCAGCCACACUGGGACUGAGACACGGCCCAGACUCCUACGGGAAGCAGCAGUGGGGAAUAUUGGACAAGGGGCGAAAGCCUGAUCCAGCAAUGCCGCGUGAGUGAUGAAGGCCUUAGGGUUGUAAAGCUCUUUUACCCGGGAUGAUAAUGACAGUACCGGGAGAAUAAGCACCGGCUAACUCCGUG
rnacentral:rRNA from 1 species